rnacentral:misc_RNA from 1 species
AAGUCGUAACAAGGUUUCCGUAGGUGAACCUGCGGAAGGAUCAUUAACACGUAUCCACGUAUCAACCCCAUGUGCUUUUUGUUUUACAACAUACCAACCUGUCUGAGACGGUUCGGGGGAAAUAACCUCAUGCUAAUCUGAAACUUGGAACGAAGGAAACUUGAGUGGUUUUUGACUGAAGAGAUUCACUUCAAUUUGGUCAAAGGGUUUCUUUCUGAGUAAGGUUUCAGAGUGAGAUUUUUUCCUUGAGCUGUUUCGUCGUUACAGGAUGUUUAUCAUACCUACCACUUCGGUGUGAUGCUUUAACUUAUUAACCCCUUUCGUAACUGAAUGUCUAAUUCAAACUUUGAUUUAUUGAGAGUGUCUUCAUUGACGCUUUCUCUGAUCAAUAGUACGAAAUGCUUGACAACUCUUAGCAACGGAUAUCUUGGUUCUC